AGUCGAACGGGACUUAAUCUGUAGCAAUACAGGUUAAGUUUAGUGACGAACGGGUGCGUAACACGUGGGCAAUCUGCCGAGAAGUGGGGGAUAGCUCGCCGAAAGGCGAAUUAAUACCGCAUAUGAUCAGGGACGACAUCUUCCCAACAUCAAAGCCGGGGUAACCUGGCGCUUCUUGAUGAGCCCGCGGCCUAUCAGCUAGUUGGUGAGGUAACGGCUCACCAAGGCUAUGACGGGUAGCUGGUCNNNGNGGA
rnacentral:rRNA from 1 species